AAGUUAGAGUAAAUGUAGGGGUAGAGUAAAAGUAAAGGUAGUAGAGUAAAGGUAGUAGAGUAAAGGUAGUAGAGUAGAGGUAGUAGAGUAAAGGUAGUAAAGGUAGUAGAGUAAAGGUAGUAAAGGUAGUAGAGUAAAGGUGUUAGAGUAAAGUUAAAGUUAGAGUAAAGUUAGAGUAAAGUUAGAGUAAAGUUAGAGUAAAGUUAGAGUAAAGUUAGAGUAAGAACAUAAAGUUAGAAUAAAGUUAAAGUUAGAGUAAAU